GCGCCCGUAGCUCAGUUGGAUAGAGCGCUUGCCUCCGGAGCAAGAGGUCCCGCGUUCAAGUCGCGGCGGGCGUACCA
rnacentral:tRNA from 1 species